GGGUGUGAAGGCAAUCUGGCUGUGGUAUCUGCCAUCUCAUUGACCACUAGGGUUGAUUUUGCUCAUCUUGCUGGCUAGGUGAGUGUCCCUUUCCUCCCUUGUCAAUCAGUGUGUAUCUUUCCUGGAGCUGUGCCCUAGGUGGAAGAUAGCAAAUUUCUUGAAUAGAGGAAGUCAGUUCUUCAGUCAAAGGUAUACGAGUGGCUGUGCUCCUCAGUCAGAAUCGCCAAACAAGCUCUCAAGGUCCAGCUUGACCAUUUUCAAGUGUACAGUUCAGAGAUAUUGAUAUAUUCCUCUUGUAGUAU
rnacentral:snRNA from 1 species